rnacentral:tRNA from 1 species
GCCGGUGUUGUCCAUGGGUUAAGACGCCGCCCUCCCAAGGCGGAAAAGCGGGUUCGAGUCCCGUCACCGGCUCCA